CUUGCCUUCUGGCUUGCUCCAAGUAGGGCACGAGACUCUGAAUCUCAGGGUUGUGGGUUCAAGCCCCACUGGGCAAGA